rnacentral:lncRNA from 1 species
GAUGUUUUGAUCCCAAACAUGGCACUUCACCAUGACCCUGAGUUAUGGGGAGACGAUGCCCAUGUUUUCAAACCGGAGAGGUUCGAGGAAGGGAUCGCGAAAGCUACCAAGUACAAUGCGGCUGCAUUUAUUCCUUUCGGAAUGGGACCUCGAGCUUGUGUCGGGAUGACCUUUGCAAUCAAUGAAACAAAGACUGCUCUUUCCAUGAUUCUACAAAGAUACACCAUUUCUCUCUCCCCUGCGUAUGUUCACUCACCCGCACCUCGUAUCACAGUUCAACCACAACAUGGGAUUCAAGUUAUGCUCAAUUCACUGUCUAAUGAUGCUUAAACUAGGCGCUGUUGAUCUGUAACGCCGUAAUCAAUGAGUAAACUCUGGUGUCGGACUCUAGUAAUGUUUGUUCAGUUUGACCUGCCAUGCACUUUGCCAAUUCCCCAUGUUCGCAUGUCUGUGAAUGUUAGGUUGUAGAAUUAUUAGAGUUCUUUAUUUUCUCUAAAAUAUAUGUAAAUGCUUCUAUUAGAUCCGGAGAUCUGAUAUGAGAACAUAUCCAAAUAUAUUAGGAGACUUCAAGAAGUUUAGUUUAAUCGUAUUGAUUCAAUUUGGUAACAUUACAAGAAAGCAGUAGCAUACAUAUCAAAAUUUAUUAUACUAUCUCUCUUAAGAAACACCCAAUGAAGUUGAUGAUAAACACGAAAAAUCCUAAGCAAUUUAGUUAUUGAGUAAACUCCUUAUAACUACGUUCUGGGAUAUCCUUGAUGAUAUCCCGUAAAAGAUCGAAGUAGAGGGGCAACUGUGCAAGUGCAAAGAAGGAAACAGGCAAACUUGUUACUAUGUAAAUCGGUAAAGCUGCAACCUUUAGCCUAUCUCUAAGUUCGAAGAAAUAGCCUGCACAAAAUGAGACUAGUAUUGCAGUUAUUGAAGUGAACAAUGCUGUUAGGCCGAUAAUGAGUCUCCAGGGCAAUUUACAAGCAAAAUCUCUCUUCCAAUCGGGAAGUCAGGAUUGCUAGGAAAAAUACCAAUGCAAUUUAAGUACCAACUAGGUAUAUAUUAACACUUUUUAUGUUUGCUCAAAUUUGGCCUUACUUGAAAUAAGUACUUAAAAUUUUGCUUAAGUCCACUCAUAUUUUGUAAAUAAUUAACUCAAACUCAUUUUAAUCUUGUCUAUAUUAUUUAAAAAAUAAAAAAUAUUUAUAUUAUUUUUAAUUUAAUAUUUAAUAAUUUUAUUUUUUAGGCAUGAACUCAACCUAUUUUUUAAGUGAGCCUAAAUUUUUUACUAAAGCUUAUUUUUUGAAACUACUAUUUUUAUUCAAAUCUUUUUAAAUUUUGGCUGAAUUUUCACAAUGUAUGAAUAAGUUUACUGACUAUUUGUAGUUUAAAAUGUUUUUAUUUGAAAUAUUAAUACAUUAAAGUUUAAUAAUAAAAUAUUUUUAAUAUUUUAAUACUCAAUAUGUUAAUGAUUAUAUAACCAAAGAAUAAAAAUAAAAAUAACAUUUUCACAGCAAAUCUCGACUUUUUUUCUUCAUUUUCGGAAACGUGCUUCUAGAGAAUCAAAUUUUUAAUAGGUGAUGUUUUGGCUUAUUGUGGGCAUACUUACCUCGAAUAACGAACCUGUUGACAGCACCUAUUAAAAAGACAAAAAAAAAAUCAUUAAAAAUCCCAAAAAACUAAACCUUGCAAAAUUAUAAAAAACAAUAAUUUAUUUUGAAAAUUAUAAAAAAAUUAAAUGAUGUGGAUGUGAAACUUGAAUAAUUAAAUGACGUGGAUGUGAAACUUGAAUAAUUAAAUGGGUUUUUUUAUAAAAUUAUUAUAAAAAAAUAAAAGAUAAUCAAAAUAUUAUAAUUUUUUUUAUUUAUCAAAAUAUUAUAAUUUUUUUAUCUACCAAAAUAUAAAAAAAAUAAAAAACAGAAAAAAAACCUGACAAUAGCACAUUGGCGGCACCAAUGGUGCCAAAGAGAUUGGCGGCAUCAAUGGUGCCAAAAGACUAAAAUGUAACUAUCUGCAGUUUCAAGGACUUGACAUGCAAAUUUACCAUUUUGAAUUUUGAAAGUGAAUCAAUGUUGUGUGCAUGUGGGGCGCACUAAAAUUAAAAUGUGGCUAAUUGUCUUCUAAGCCAUCCUUUUAUUAUUUUCUUUUUAUUCCCCUUCAACUCACUUUUUUAUUUAAUAAACAAGCCCUCAACCUAUUUUUGUAGUUAAAUAAGCUCUUAAUCUAUGAUUUUUACUCAUAAAAGUCCUCAAACUAAUUCGCAUUUUAUGUAUUAUUUUGAUAAUUUGAUGAGAAUAGUUUUAUGAUUUUUUUAAUUAAAUAAACUAUUCUCAUUUAAUAACUCUAUUUUAAUUUUAAAAAAAUUAAGUAAACUAUUUUAAUUUAAUUUUUUUUAAAAAUUAAAAUAGAGUUAUUAAAUGAGAGAAUUCUAAUUAAGUAAUAACUCUAUUUUAAUUUAAUAAACUAUUCUCAUUUAAUAACUCUAUUUUAAUUUAAAAAAAUUAAAUGAGAAUAGUUUAUUAAAUUAAAAUAGAGUUAUUAAAUGAGAAUAGUUUAUUAAAUUAAAAUAGAGUUAUUACUUAAUUAGAAUUCUAAGUAUCUUAAUUAUCACUUAAUUAAUAUUAGAUUUAAUUAAAAAAUUAAUAGAAAUAUCAGGUAUGCCUUAUUGAAAAACUAGAAGUAAUAAUAAAACUGAUCACCCAUAAAUGUAACCCAAAUAGAAAAAGAUAAAUUAUAAUUAUAAACUAUUCUCAUCAAAUUACCAAAAUAAUACAUAAAAUGCGAAUUAGUUUGAGGACUUUUAUGAGUAAAAAUCAUAGAUUAAGAGCUUAUUUAACUACAAAAAUAGGUUGAGGGCUUGUUUAUUAAAUAAAAAAGUGAGUUGAAGGGGAAUAAAAAGAAAAUAAUAAAUAAGGAGGGCUUAGAAGACAAUUAGCCACAUUUCAAUUUUAGUGCGACCCACAGCAGCAAUUCACUUUCAAAAUUCAAAAUAGUAAAUUUGCAUGUCAGGUCCUUGAAACUGCAGAUAGUUACAUUUUAGUCCUUUGACACCAUUGGUGCCGCCAAUGUGAUUGGCCUGAUCAGGCUGUUGUCAGGUUUUUUUUUUCUGUUUUUUGUUUUUUUUGUAUAUUUUAAUAAAUAAAAAAAAAUUAUAAUAUUUUGAUAAAUAAAAAAAAUUAUAAUAUUUUAGUGAUUUUUUAUUUUUUUAUAAUAAUUUUGUAAAAAACCCAAUUAAAUGAUAUGUGUUUAUUUAGAAUUUUAAACUUUUAUAAAAUUUUAUGAAUUUUUGUCUUUUUAGAAGAACCUAGAAUUCCAAACAAACACGUUUCUAUAAAAAGACAGUAAUCAAUAAUAGAGGGGAGAAGCGGUUGAAGUGAUAAAGGAGAGUUUGUAGAUGUUCACAUUUGUUUCAUUUGUUUAAGAGGGUUUCUUUCUAAACAAAAAAAAAAAUGUUCAAACAGAAAAAAUAAAAAAUGUGUUUUGUUCUCACGAAAUUUUAGAUUUUAUGAAAUUUAUGAUAUUUUCUUGGAAAUAACAUAAAUUUCUUAAAAUAUAUAAAAAAUUCAGAAAAGAAAAAAAUAAAAUCAAAAGAAAAUACCAUAAAAUUUUUUUAAAAAUUCAUAAAAGUUUACAAAAACUUAAAAUUCUAAACAAACAAUUUUUUUUAAAAAUUAUGAUUUUUUUAAUUAUUCAAGUUCCACAUACUUAUCAUUUAAAUUUUUUUUAUAAUUUUCAAAAAUAAAUUAUCAUUUUUUUAUAAUUUUACAAGUUUUAGUUUUUUUUGGUAUUUUUAAUAUUUUUUUAUUUUUAAUAAUUUUUUAAAUUUUGAGUAAUUUUGUUAAGUGCAUGAUAAUUCGAUUAAAUUUUUUAAUAAAAAAACAAGGUUGAGAUAAAAAGUUAUACAAAAUAAAGAGUCAUCUUUAUUAAUUUAAAAAAAAAAUUAAGAAUAUAUAAAUACAAAAUAAAGAAUAUACAAAAUAAUACAGACUUUAGUUGUAUUCGAAUGACAAAAAGAGGUAUGAAGCAAAAUUUAAUUGGAAAAUGAAAAUAAGGGUUCUUGAACUCCGCAAAAUUCAUUGCUAUUUGAUUCUCAUAUUCUUCCUCUAAUUUUCUUUCUUCAAAAAUUGAAUAACAAAUAAUUAUGCUUCGAAGCAAUUUUUUUAGAAUAUUUCGAAAUUUUUUUAUUUAUUUUUAUGUAUUUAUAUAUUCUUACUUUCUUUUUAAAAAUUUAUAAUUUUUAUAUAAAAACAACGUUAAUUCAAUAAAAUUAUAAAAAUUAAAAUUAAAAUUAUUAUAUUAAUUUAAAAAAAUGACUAGUCAUCUUUUGUUAGUCACUUUAAUGGUUAAGUCACUAAAACAGACAAUUCAAAAUAUUAAUAUAUUAAAUUUUAUUAAUAAAUUAUUUUUAAUAUUUUAAUAAUCAAUAUUAAUAUAAACAACCAUUUUUCAUGCGACGAGUGUAUAAUCAUACUGGAGCACAUGACAUUACAACUCGGUCUAUCGGUGGAUGGGUCAGUCGUCACGGGAGCAACGAUCAUUUCUGGUAAAGAGGAUCUCUACACGACAUUAUUGGGGAAGGUCCUGAACAAGUUUGAUGGUGGCCGGAUAUCGAUGAAUUUGAUGACGAAAAAUGUAAAUAAGCUUCCUGCGGAUGCGACCGAGGUCAUCAAAGUACAAUACGCCCAAACAUUCAUCCUUCAGUCAAUCGAGGGCAUUCUAAUGCUCAAUAAAUCUCAAAAUUUGGUACAGAUAAAGUGGCUACUACACCCAAUAGACUUCAAAGAAUAUGGACAACUGAGUUGAUGAUCAACCGUGUUGGCCACAUUAUAUCGGGAGUUGUGUUGGGCCACGAAAUCGAAUAAGAUGUCAAUCGGUGGUUGCCUACUCCUGUUCCAGUCGUGGCCCUGGUGGCGGCUACCAUUUCUACGUCCUCAAGUGAACAACCCAUACAUGUUUCCAUUGAUGACAAGGUAAAAAUCAUUUAUUAAUAAAUACGUAGUUUUUAUAGUAAAUGUUUUUAUUCAUUAUAUGUUUGAACUAACAUAUCGCUUUUACAAGUGGAACCAUUAGCCGAGUUACGUAGGACUAUUCGAGGACCUGGAAGAUAUUAGGCUGUUGUUAGAUCAACGCUCGGAAGCCAAUGUUAGUUACUUAUUCUUUCAAACCUAUAUUAAUUACGCAAUGAUUUGUAAAAUAAAGUUUCGUACUAAUGAAAUUUACAACUAUGUGUUUUAGUUUGAAUGGAUGUCAUACGUUGACACUGAUAUUAUAUCUUGCAUCUCGCCAAAAGUGUUGGUCAAUCAAGGGAUGUGGGACGCGAAAGUGUCAUUGAUAAUGUACGCGACAGUGGAUAUACAAAAAUCAGAUAGAAUGAUACGGCAGUUUGGGUAUCGGUAAUAAAUUCCACCGGCACAGCGAGACUUGAAGGAGUUGCACAAGGUGGACACGCGAGGGUAAAAUGACCAGGAUUGGCGAGAGAUGCACAAGGACUACAUUGAGGCUUAGGAUCAAAAAAUGGAAUUCUUACCCAUCCGCGAACCAUUUUUCUAAGCAGAUACAACGGCCUGUUUGGAGUACUUGUCGUGGUUCAGAGUUGUCGGCAAGUCGUAUCUGCUAUCGAUAUAGGCGAAGAGUAGGAAACAUCGUCAGAAGAGGCAACGACGACUGCCCCAGCAAUAGCGUAGGGCCAGACGUGAUUGCACAAUGAGUUCGUUAUUGGCUCCACCCGAAGAAGUGUCGCCUAUGUCUACGCAAUAUCCUGGUCAGUUCACUUUACUUAUUCCUGUUCAUUUCACUAACGCUAUCUUUUUUCACAAGCAUUGCACUACGUAACACCAUCGCACAUGCUCGGCUCUUCUGUUUCCGUAGGUACAUAUUUUGGGGCACCAAUAUCCCCCGUAUUCUACACCCCGAUGCCAUUGUCGAUGUCGACCCCGAUGUCGGGCUAGAUGUCGAUGCAUGCACUAUCAUCGAUGAUGACACCGAGACAAACAUCGAUGUCAAUAUCGAUGCCCGGGUCAAUAUCGACGUAUCUAGGUUUUAUGGCACCUUAUGGUUGCACACUGAUAGCGACACAAACACCGUUCGCAUCAUUUUUUUAUCAAGGUGGGUCAUUGGUGCAAUCGUCUUGUGAUGGAGUGGAGGAUACACGAAGGGAGACUAGGACGACAUCACACUCGAGCAUAUAGGAAGGUGAUGUAGACAAAGGCGAAGACAAAGAUGAAUAUGAAGACAAACACGAAGACCAAAACUAAGACCAAGAUGAACAUGAUGACGAUGAUGGAGACGAAGAUGAGCAAGAGGGUAGAGGUGAAGGCGAUGAUGAUAAGGACGACGACAAUGAGGAAGUUUAUAGGCCCGCAUCUCCGAUUGUGUGCAGAAAUCCUCCUUGCGAGCAUUGUCCACUACCCUGCAGCACACAUUCUCUCCCAUGACACAAUUGAUGUAUUCUUUUUUUUACUAUUACGAUGUAAAUAUAUAUGACAUAAAUAAAGAAACCAUAAAUUUUCAUUCCAAUACUAUAUUGUAUUAAUUACAUUUUAAAGUGAGUUAUGCGUAUGUUAAUAAAAAAUAAAAAAUUUGGAAACCAGAAUAGUAGAAGCAUUGUAAUGAAUAUAUUAUCUAAAAGAAAAUAAUACUAUUGACAUUGAGGCUCCAAAGUACCCCUCAACACAGAACAUGUUGCCUUUGUAUGCCCUGGAUUCCUUAUAACGCCGUAAAAUUUUUAAUUUUGUUAUUAUGAAAAUAUGAAAAAAAUAUUUUUCUGCUUCAGUGGUUAAGUGUUUUGGGUGUGUGUAUGAGGUCCCAAGUUCAAGCCUUGACUUGGGAAAAUUUUGGUAUUUUUAUGAAUAAAGCCUUAUCUCUGGUCAGUAGGCUUAUGGUCAAAAGUUGGUAAAAAUAUAUCAGAAUGGGUUUGCUAGUCUGGUGGUUAAGGUGUGUGUUGGCGAGUGGGAGGUUUGGAGUUCAAGUCCUUGCGCGAGCAAGGGAAUUAUUUUUGGUUGCUUGGCCGUGUGGCGUGGUGGAGUCCUAGUCAAAUUGAAAUUUCGAGUAAUGGAGUUGUUGUGGGAGGUUAGGGAGAGAAUUAAGGAGAUGAGUUGCCAGAUUUUUAGGCAUUAUCUUUUUGUUUAGUUUUUUUUUCCAAAUUUCGAACUCCUUUCCACCUUUCUGACGUUUUCUCUCUUCUCUCACACUUUCAAUUUUUGGUUUUCCUCUUUUUUUCUAAAUGAUAAAUCCUUGCUGCUGAAUUUCCUUUGAAUUCCCCUUCCGUUUUCGUUGUCUUUCUUCAGCUUUUCCCCUUUGUGCAAGCGUACAAUUGUGUUGUACGAUAAGUUUUCGUUUCAUUAAACUCAAAUGUUAAUCUAGAUAAAGGAUUAAGGGGUGUUUUGUUGACUGUUUAGGAGUCGAUCGUGAGACUGGAAUUAACAUUCGUCGAUUUGACUCGAAGUGGUGAUCAUUUGGUAACCGUAUAGGGUAUACGUUUUCUUAUGUUGUUUGGGCGAGUGGUUUUGGCUUUGAAUUUGUUCUUAAAUUUGUUGAACACUUCGUUAAUGAGGAAUGGUUAUUUUUACAGCGGCGAAUCCUUUCGGUUGCUAUCUCCCUCAUAUUGAGUAUUGGUGGAAUUGUGCGAAGUUAGAAGGUUUUUGGUGGUCUCGGGAGUGCGUAAGCAGCGAAAACGAUACAGGUGUGUACCUGAAAUGCAGAAAAUGAGAUUUUGAAAAAAGCUGAAAUUGCUUGUUGUCGAGAAAUAAGAGAAAUAAGAGAAAAUGAUGCGAAAAAUUGUAGAGAAAGGAAAUAAGGGUGUUAUAAUCUUGGAAAUCAACAUUCUGCAUUAAAAUAGUUUUCGAUAGCAGCAGUAGUCUAACUUUGAAAUAUCAUCUAAAAUAGUGAAAAUUGAGUUAGAGGUUGAAUAAAUUAUAAAAUUAAAUUUUAUUGAGUCUAGUUUUUCAUGAAAGAAACAGUGUAAGCAAUGAAAUUGUAAGUCAUGAGAUAUAAUGAAUUUUGUAAGACAAGGUCAGAAUGGUUUCGGGUUCCCCUGUUUUGACUUUGGAAAAUCAUCAAAAAUUGUAAAAAAAUAAUUAAGGGCUUAAAUCUAUAUUUUUAAAUCUUUAAUUAGUCUAUUUUCAAGAGAAACAAAUGGAAACAUCAUCCAAAUUUCAUACUAUGAGAUAAAUAAUUUUUAGUAAGAAAAGGUUGAAGCUGUCAAACAGCAGAAUAGGGAUAACUUUGAAGAUUUUACUGUACUUAUUUAAUAAGCUAUAAAUUCUAAAAAUUUUAUGGUAGAAAGUUAUUUGAGUCUAGUUUCGAAAACAUCAAGCGGAUCUUAAUUUGGAAUUCUAUAGCUCAAGAUAUCAAUAAUUUAGUGACAAUGACUCAAGUAGACAGCUCUGAAUGAUCAUAUAAGUAAAUAGUGAGAAGAUAUAUGAAUAUUUAGCUAGCAUGGGUUACAUUAAAAAUGGAUCACACGGCUAAGGCCAAUUUGGGCUGAGUGGGCCAUAUGCCCGUGUGUGCCCAUUAUUAUCGAAAUGAUUCUAAGGUUGCAUGGGUCGCCCAAGUCGACUGUGAACCUACUGUAAGGUCAGUAAGCGCUACUUAAACCUCUAAAUGUGUGAAAUUGACUGAAUGAUAUCUGUACUGAGCAUUUUAAUAUCUGAACCGAAUAUAUGUUCUGAAAUUGCAUAAUAGGAUAUCAUCCAUUGUAUGUUGCAUUCCAUUGGGUUGGGGAUGUUAUUUAGAGGAAGUGUACUGAAAGGCUUUAAGCCUAAUUUACUGGCAGCUCAGCUGCAAACUACUGUUUUGUGCCACAUCGAUACUACUUGGAGUGUAGGGAUGGGUGGGUUGAUUAUAUCCCCACAUGGAGGGUAGGGUUGGAUGAAGAUUGUGUGUAGAGGCGGGAUGGGUAGGAUUUUUCUACUGCAUAACUGUUACUGCUAUUGAUGCUGUGAUGGGCUAAGGCCCUACUACAUUUUUGACACUGUACUGAGAUAGGCUAAGGCUCAAACUGUCACUGAUACUGAAAAGGGCUUAGGCCCAAGACUGUUUAACUGUGCACUAUGAAUACUAAUUGUUUGUUUGUUUCUAUGGGAUUACACACUGAGUUUACGUAAACUCACCCUUUUUGUUAAAUGUGCACAGGUAAUCCCUAGACUUAAACGGUUCGGUAUGACGGAGGACUUAGCGGUGAUCACAAAAAUUUUUGGACUUCAUGGUUUUCAAUUUACGUUUUAUGAUUUAAUUAUUAUUGAUUAUUUAGGUUGUAAUUUAAGGACCCUCUGGGAAUUUGGUUUUAAAUUUUGGGUUUUUAUUUAUUUAUUUUACUUUAUGGAUUUAUACCUACUGGUCGUAGGAAAUUUGAUUUUCAAAAUGUUAAAGUAGUUUCUAAACGCAUGAUCACUUAGACUGUUUUAUUAAAGCUUCUGCAACGAGGGAUGUUUCAAAACAAAUGGUUUAAAUGAAUAAAGAUGACUUUCUAAGUUCUAACAAAGGUUUACUAAAGAUAAUAACAUGGAAUGUUUUCAACGUUACAACGAGGUUUCAAAAGUACUAUCGUGUGACAUUGUCAGAUACGGCCAUAAUGUCUACGUUGGGUUUAGGGUGUUACAUUCCUAUAGUACCCGCAUAACCUUUGUUGACUAUCCUUCUCCCGAAUAUCAAUAUUGUUCCAUAUCCAAAUGGUAUUCAGGCGACUUUUUGGAACGCGAUGUACGUUCAUGUUCGGUGCCAACUCAUACGGUGCGCUAGACGAUGGCGGCCACGUACUCUCAUUAGGGACAGGUGGGAAUUUAGGACUCCAUAUUUUAUACAUGCAUUCUAGACUGUACACAUCAUUGAUGUAAGGCGUGUACUCAAUUCUUAAGUUCGCACAUGCGACAAUUACAUGUAUGUAUGGGAAUCGAAGCGCUUGGAACCUCCCACAAUCGAAAGCCCCUCCUGUUAGGUCGACAUGAUAUGAUGCCCCUGACAUGCCUUCUUCAAGCCUAGCGUGCUCCGUGACUCAAAAUUUCAAAUUUCGACGGAAGUGACACACUGCAUACAUAGUGUUCGCUUUCGCUAUAUUUCGUCUGAUUUCUUUCAUUACAUCCUCACACCAACUAUCUGAUUUCUUUCAUUACAUCCUUACACCAAGUAUGGUCGCCCGCUAUUUGUCCAGCGUAUGUCACUGCCUUAUUUGGAAACAAUGCAACCAGGUGAAAGUAUGUUUCUUUCACAAUCGAGGUUAUCGACAAGUAAUGCAUUCCCUUUAGUACGGAAUUGAUACACUUGACUAAGUUUGACAUCAUGUGCCCAUACCGUAAACCUCCGCCAUAUGAUUGUGUCCACUGUUCAAAGGGUAUGUUGGUGAGGUAUGCAGCACCGUAGCUAUUGAUGGCGCCCAAGUUGUUCAACAUUUCAUGGAAUCGAUGUUGGACGAGCUCACAUCCUGUCAAGAAAAGCAUACCUAUGAAUGCAAACAACGACCAAAAUAGGGUAAAACAUUGCGGUGCAGGUAGUGUUAAUUACAUACCCAUGUCGAUUACUUCAUCUCGCUCACUUUUCGAUAGCCAUUUUGUGUGGUAGUUGGAUCCAACAUGUCGUAAGUAGUACCUAUGAUGAGUACGAUACAAAAGCUACCAUGCCACUCAAUUGCUGACAAGAUUUCGGUUCCCCUAUUAGAUAUGACACAUAUGUUGGGCUAUGGGAAAAUGCGACAGCGUAUUCAGCUCAGAAAGAAAUCUUAGUUGUCUGUCGCUUCUCUAGGAGUUAUUGUAGACACAAUCGACAGAAUCCUCCAAUUACCAUCCUGAGCAACGACAAUCAACAAUUGAUGCUGACUCCUUCUCCUCAAUUGCAUUCGCUGUCAUUUUUCCUCACUUGUAUCUUCUUCCUCAGUCGCAUCUUCUUCUUCAUCUGCAUCUUCUUCCGCGGCCAUAUCUUCUUCCUCAUCGGCACCUUCAUUGUCCCUUUCAAGCAAGAGGUUCAAUGUACCCUCGUCACUCCCCGCCGAAAGGAUUAAGUCAUCGGUUCUUCUAUAACCCAUGUGUCCGUCAUAAUCUACACUAAUUUAGAGUAAGUCAUGUGUACGUCAAUGAACCCCUGGUAUAAGUGCUUCCGGCCCAUGAUAUUGAACUCGCACUGAAGUUGAAAUCGAAUGCACUAAUUGAAAGUCAAACUUGAAUGUCAAAAUUAGGGUUAUAGUCAUACCCAACUGAUACUGGCUCCCGAAGUUUAGAUAUGUGCCAAAGAUCAACGAAUGUUUACCAAUAGGUGUUUCGAGGACAUCGUAGUAGUAGCUUUGUAACACGCCAGUGAACACACCACACAACCUUGUAGCAGGACUUUCUACUUCAGCUUCGGUUCCAACAUUAGAUGCAACGGUGGCCGAAGAUGGGCUAGAUGCAUAAACCUUGGCAAACUCGACGUAUAAGUCCAUUACAACAUUUUCCCUUAAAACGUGCGAUGAUAUAAUCGUCUCGAGCUGGACCUCGUCAUUCACAUCAAAUUCGUCAUACCUGUAAGGGGUCAAUGGUAGCAAGUUAUCUACAUUGCAACCUUAAAAUUCUUUCUCAGGUUGAUCCUCUGACUUUCCUCCUAUUUCUUGUCCAUAGCUCACGCAAUUGAAAAGUACGAUUGAACGCCAAUUCCACAAACUGUGCUCCUACAAAUAUCAACCAACCUUUGUAUUAUAGAUUUGACCGUCAUAAUAAAAAAUGGAUUUCACUCGUCGACUCAUUUCAAUAUCAGUUAAGAAUUGGAUUAACAAUACCAAAAAAAUAAGUAGAUGGUUGUUGAAAGAAAUACACAUAACUCCCACAACUUAACAAUUUGAUUUUUUAUGUUAAUUUACUGUGUGUCUAAGUUAUGCAAAUUACGUCCCUUUAAUAGGAAAAUAAGCCAACAAGAGGGAAUAUGAUGUGAGUCUUAAGGCCAAAAAUUAGGUUCAUAAACGUGAUGGGCUCAAAUUUCCUCAAAGCCCAAUAACGAGGUCGAAGGCCAAACAAAUUCGAGCAAUAUUGAAUGAGACCAUCCAAGACUUCGUUACCAAGGCCCUAGAUACGCACAUGACCGAAAAAGAAAAUCAAGAUUCACUUUCUUGUUUUCAAGAAAAUCAAGAAAUCGAAUCUUGGUCUAAUUUUGCUAUUUCAGACAAUUUCAAGAAUCAAGAAAAUCAAGAUUUCAAAUCUGGGUCCAAGAAAUUGAAUCUUGUAGCCAAGGCGCAUUGGAUUUCAUGUACAAGCUAAUUUCUAGAGCAAACGGAUCACAAGAUCAAGUUCUUGAAAAAAUGACCCAUUAAGAUGUCUACGAGUCCAUCAUGAAGUUUGGAAAGUAAUUUAAUUGAAUAUCAGGCCAAAUUAUCAAAGUGGCCCAAGUUGUAAAAUAUUUAAACUAUAGGUCCAAUUUUAUUUUAAUAGGUGGAUCAUCAAGUAAGAAUUCAAUCCAAUGAGCCCAUUUAAUUCCUUUGGUUGAAUUCCCAUUAAAAGUCCACACUUAAAUUUAUUUUGUUUAAUUUAUUUGAUGAGUUGUCAUGUUAAUUAUUCCAUUAGGGUUAGGAAAACUUAUUUUAGGGCCUAUAGGUAGCAUGGAUGUCCACCCUUAUAGAUGAACAAUUGAUUUUUGUUUUUUUUUUAAGUUAAUAAUAAUUCUCUUUGAGUUUUUCUUCAAAAAUUGUCAUUGAGUUUCUUUUAGAAGUUGUUUUAACAAUCUUUUAGGUUGUGGGAAUCAUCUUCAAGCUUUUUCUUGCCAAGAUCUUUUUCUUGGAGGAGGAAUUAGAGCCAUUGAAAGGAGUUGUGGAUUCUUAAUGUUUCCAAGGCUUCUUAGGACGUCAUCUUCUCUUUUCUAGCAUUAAUUUAUCGUUUUUUGUUUAUUUUAAUUUAAUUCUUUCUAUUUUUUUCUUACUGAUUUUAUUGAUUUUUGUUCUAGGUUAAAAUUUCUUGAAGAGACAUUCUCCUAUCUUGUUCCAUCAGGAAACAUAUCAAAAUUAGGAAUUUUAAUCUUUUAUUAUUGUUUCAAACAUUCUUGCACAAAACAAUUUGCCUUUGUCUUUAAAAUCACUUCUAACAAAUAUGUUUUGUGUUUUGUUUUUCCAGAUCUAGUUGGGACAUUUUUCUUGAGGUCCAGGACAAUUUCUUUCCAUCCAAGAAACUCUAAUUCGUUCUCUAUUGGACUCUUUACCAGCCAGUUGAUCUUUCUUGUAACAACCCAUUUUUAAUGGUGUCGAAAAUAGUGGUUUCGAGACCACGACUCUGAUGAGUGAGUUAUUAUUUAAUUAUUUAUUUAAUUUCUAUAGAUUAAAUUUUUGUUAAGAAAAUUUAAAGUUUAAAUGGUUAAUUAGGUAAAAAGGACUAAAUUGAUAAAAGUGCAAAAGUUGAGUUCUAUUAGUUAAGUGGAUUAAAUAACUUUAGCAAGGUAAAUUAAUAGAUUUAUAUGGUAAAUAUACCAGAUUUAAAGUUAGUAGAUAUGCAUGGAUAGGUUUUAUUGUAAAUUAUGUGAAUCUAAAAGGUUAAAAUGGUAAAUUAAUAAUUAAAAGAAAAAUAAACUAACCAAAAGUGGUCAUCUUCUUGAAUUAGCUUUCCAAAAUCGAAUAGCCAUAAAAAAGGGGUGAGAAGCUUUCGAUCAUGGUGUUUUUCCUUGCAUGAUCAAGGUACUAAUCAACUGGACUUAGACCGAGGAAAAGCUAAAAUGGUGGAUUAGUCAUCAGCCUCGUUUUCACAACUAUCUUAUCGAGGAGUGGGAUUGAAAUACAUUUGGCAUUACUGAAUUCUUGAAAAGGUUAUAUCCAAAACGAAUAUCAAAUGAAAAGGUUGUUACCCUAAAAAGGUUAACAUAUGAAAAGGUUAUAUCGAAAACGACUAUCUAAUGAAAUGUUGUUACCCUAAAAGGGUUAACAUAUGAAAAGUUUUAUUGAAAAGGAUUUAUGGUAAGAACCCAUUUAGUUAAGGUUUGUAUGAAAUUUUAAUUUGAUUAUGUAUUUAGUUACUAACUUGAGAUGUGAUAUGUAUAGGAAGAAUUGUACAUAUAGUAAUUGAAAUGCUUGAAUGGUUAAUCAUGAGAUCAUGUUUUCGAUAAGUUGAGUUCUUUUAAACGAACUUACUAAGCAUCGUUGCUUAUGUAUUUAUUUUGUUUUGUUUUGUAGAUCAUUGGAGAUUUGAUCAGUUGGAAUCUUGUCGGAGACCUAUCAUACUAUUCAACAAGCAAUUUGGUUGAUUUUGAGUUAUUUUGGUUGGUAGAAAAUGACAUGUAUAGGGAUUAAAUGUAAUAGGUGUUGUGAAUAUGUUAUUUGGCCAACUUGGUAUGGAUAUGGUUUUUUAGUAUAUGUUUGUUUGGACUUGUAAUGCUUACUAAGUACAUGUCUUUUGGUCACUUUUGAGUGAAAUGUAUAUAUAUGACAUGAGAUAUGUUUAUAUGUGCCUGGACUUUUGAAUGCUUGUGGUGGUGAUGAUUUAUACUUAGAUUAAUGUGAUGUUGAGUUGGUAUGAAUUAAGGUACCUUUGAAUGGCAUAUUGGUUAGAAUUUAUAGGUUGAUUGAUUUGGUAUGUGUUGAGUGUGUUUAGAGAAUGUUAUGGUCAAUUAAAUGUAUGUGUAAAUGGUGUAUCUUGUUGUGCAAGAAUAGGUAUUGAAUUGGCUUGUUUUAAGGACUUUAUGUGGAGCACAUGACUUGGGACACGGGCUGUCGCACAGCCUGGCUACACAGUCGUGUGCCACUUUUUAUUUUAGGUGCAGGUUUCACAUGGUCUAAGACACGGCCAUGUGUAUCAAGUCAAUGAGUUACACGGUCUGUAACACGGCUGUGUGACCCAAGUCAGUGAGUUACAUGGGCUGGGACAUGGUCAUAUGUCCCAUUGUUCGAAUGCCCACAUGGUCUGGGCUAUGUCACAUGGCCAUAUGACCCCUGUUUCAAAAUUUUCAACUUUUUUCCUAAUUUUUCUACUUUAUUUUAAAUUAGUCCCAAAUUGAUCCCAAACUAUUCUUAAGGCCUUAAAGGCUCGAUUUAAGACCCAAGUCUGUAUGUUUGCUAGGCUUGAAAUGAGUUUUAAGUAAUAUUAAAUCGCAUUAUUAAUUUGUUUUGAAGUUAAUUGUUCUAAAUUGUACAAUAAUACUUCGUACCCUAAUCCGGUGACGGAAACGAGUUAGGGGUGUUACAUUUCGUUUGACUCUCUUUUGUGACAACUAAUUUAUUUUCGUUGUUUCUUGAUUCAAAUUACGUUUGUUUAGAGAUCUAGGUUAAGUCUGCAACUUAGACAAGCUACAAUCUUGUUCCGCAUGCAUGUCGUAUCAUUCUUUAUAAUUUGGUAUCAAAUUUGGGCAUUUUGGGUGUUCAUGUUUGAUUUCUAAACUGAUUUCCAUUGCAAAACAGCCUAUAAUUAGUUUGUACCCAGAAUUUUUUUUGAAUUAUUUUUUGAGUGUUUAAGAAUUUUUCAAUUGAUCUAAAAUUUUAUAUAUUGAUUCUUGGCACUGUAUUACAAUAUAAAAAAUAUUUCCCACGAAAAAAGUGAUCGAAAAAGUAUAGAAAAAAGGAAAUACAAAAAAAUUUCUGUGGGUUAAAUUUUGUGUAGAAACUUUCCAAAUCAGAUCUACAUUAUUUAAGGAGGUUCUAGUUUAAAUUUCGUGAAUUUUUGAAAUCAGUAACAACUCAAACAAAUUUUUUCAAGCUGCUUCGCAAUUUUUCGAGUUUUCAGGUUUUAGCAAUUUUUAAUGACUUUUAGCCUUUGGUUUUCAUUUGUUUUUGCUUUUUAUUGUUCCUAUACACAUUCUAACACUUUAUUGUUUCUUGUGUUAGUAGGUUAAAGCACGUUGCACAUUCCUUCCUCGGUGUAACACAAUUCUUUGGUGUCUAACCACUUUUGGACUCCUAGUGCCGUUAAGAUAUUUGGUUGCUAGAUUCUUUAACAUUCUGAUUGAUUGUCAUAAAUACUCCUAAAGGACUCACAAGAUUAAUUCUUACCUUAUUGAGAAUUCAAUUUUAUUUUUGAGUGCGUAACGGUGAUAUUUGUUUAAGUUUUUUCUUUUUGAGUGCUGUGUUUUUUUUAGAUUUGUCACAAUGUCUCGUAAUGGCAAAAGAAGUGAUGACCAGGGUGGCACACCAUUAGUGACCAUCGAAAAUCUUACUGGUUUCGCAAUGAAAUUACAAUGUGACCUCAAUGAAGUCAAUGAUAAGUUCGAACAUAGGUUUGAUAGUUUGCAACGAAAUCUAGAGGAUUGAAAUGCUUGAGAUCAGAAAUGUGAUACUAUUUUAGACACGAUCAUUAAAAAUUUGGAAUGUCUAAGUACCAAAAUUGAGCAUCGCAAUUAUAAUUAGGGAGAUAUGGUUGAUCAGCCUCGUCUUUGUGUAAAUAAUGCUCGAUGUAUCUCUCGUGAAAAUGACGAGACUUUAGUUCAUAAUGACUGUGGGCAACAUUUUUUUAAGCUAAAUCAAAUUUUUCAAUUUCAGAAUUUCAUGGAAAGAAUGAUCAAGAGACUUAUUGUGAUAGAAAAAGUGAUCAUAAAUUAUUUUGCCAAUUUAAGGGGAGAUGGCCAAACUAAAGGAGGAAUAUGAUUAAGCUAUCACCUUUUGUGCAAUGUUAUUAGUGUAGUUCAAAAUAUCAUAAGGGUUUCCAACGUUCAAUUAAAUAUCCAACUAGAGAAGAAAGUAAGUAUGACUUUGUACCUUUUGUUGACUCAUACUCUAGCAGAAAAGAGAUUUGUGAUGCAAACUUUGUGAACCAGAAAAAGAUGAUAGUGAGAAUUUUUUUCCUUGAAUCUAUUGAGUUAGAUGAGAUAGAAAAGUCAUGUUCUCCUACUAAGAUGUAUUGUACUGAAUUCAAUAUUCAUAAUACUUAUGAGGGGGAUAUGGGAAGUGAGGUGGAAUCAUGUGAAAAUAUCGAAAGAAAAGAGACCUUGAGUGAUAAAAGUCUACUUGAUGGUUCAAAUUUGGUGAGUGAAAAUCCAUAUGAGGUAAAAUUGGAGAGUUCUCAAGUGGAAAAAGAAAAUGCCCAUACAAAAGUGAGGAAUGAUUAUGUUUUAACUAACCCUAACUCAAAUUUAUUUAGUGGUGUUUCUCUAUUACAGGAUCUCAAGGAUCCAUUGAUGGACUUCUAAUUAAAGUACUCUGCCAUCGAUAAACGAUUUUACUUAUGGGAGAGAGGUAAGUUGAACAUUGAUACUUCUCCAUAAAUGCUACAAGGUAAGAAAGGUAAGAAAACAUUAGAAAUUGAUUUAAGAAGGCAUACAUUGAAUGUUUUUGAUAAGUAUGCUACUGAUUUUGUUUGUAAAAUAUUUCCUUACAACAUGUUUUCUCGUUGAUCUAAUUUUAUUAAACCCUGGUCUGAAAGUUCAAUUGAUUUUAUGGGUUUAUCUAGGUAUGUCAGUGUUACUUUUGUUGCAUUCGAUAGGUUUAUUAAAUAACUUUAUGUAUUUGAUCUUACAACAAAAUUUUCUACCUUAGACUGUAAAUAUGAAUUUUUAAAUAAUAGUAUUAAACUUCUGGAUUUUGAUUAUUAUGUGAAAUUAUUGACUAAUCUUUGGAAAUUCUUAUGGAUGGCCAUGUAUAUUCAAAGAAAGUUACUAUUCAUUUUUUACUUGAACACUUAUGUGCCUAAAAAUUAUUUUUUUAGUGUUGAUACCUUGUUUUUAAAGGAGACAUCCAUGAUCGAAGCUAAUAUGUAGGAUUGAAAUAAUGCCUUUGAUCCUGGAGAUAGUUUUGGCGCAUAAGAAAGUUUAGGUAAGUAUUUUUUUGUUAUUUAUUCUAAUACCUUUUCUUUUUGUGUAGUUAGAGAUUCGAGGAUGAAUCUUAUUGAGGAAAGGAGGAAUGAUGCGAGUCUCAAGGACAAAAAUCAAGCUCAUGAACAUGAUGGGCUCAAAUUUCCUCAAGGCCCAAUAAUGAGGUCGAAGGCCAAGUAAAUUCGAGGAAGAUUAAAUGGGACCAUCCAAGACUUCGUUACCAAGGCCUUAGAUAUGCACACUAUCGAAAAAUAAAAUCAAAAUUCACUUUCUUAUUUUCAAGGAAAUCAAGAAACCGAAUCUUGGUCCAAUUUUUCUAUUUUAGACAAUUUAAAGAAUAAAAAAAAAUCAAGAUUUCAAAUCUUGAAAAUCUUGGUCCAGGAAACUGUUCUUGCAGCCAAGGUGCAUUGGAUUUCAUAUAUGAGCUUGAAUGAGCCAAUUUCGAGAGCAAACGGAUCACAAGAUCAGGUUCUUAAAAAAUGACCCAUUAAGAUGUCUACAAGUCCAUCCUGAAGUUUGAAAAGUAAUUUAAUUAAAUAUCAAGCCAAAUUAUCAAAGUGGCACAAAUUGUAAAAAUAUUUAAACUAUAGGUCCAAUUUUAUUUUAAUAGGUGGAUCAUCAUGUAAGAAUUCAGCCCAAGGAGCCCAUUUAAUUCCUUUGGCUGAAUUCCCAUUAAAAGUCCACACUUAGAAUUAUUUUGUUUUUUUUAUUUGAUGAGUUGUCAUACUAAUUAUUCUAUUAGGGUUAGAAAAACUUAUUUUGGGGGUUUAUAAGUAGCAUGGACAUCUACCCUUAUAGGAUGAACAAUUGAUUUUUUUUAAGUUAAUAAUAAUUCUCUGAGUUUUUAUUCAAGAAUUGCUAUUGAGUUUCUUAUAGAAGUUGUUUUAACAAUCUUUUAGGUUGUAGAAAUCAUCUUUAAGCUUUUUCUUGCCAAGAUCUCUUUCUUGAAGGAGAAAUUAAAGCCAUUGAAAAGAGUUGUGGAUUCUUAAUGUUUCCAAGGCUUCUUAGGACGUCAUUUUCUCUUUUAUAGCCUUAAUUUAUCGUUUCUUGUUUAUUUUAAUUUAGUUCUUACUGUUUUGGCUUACUAAUUUUAUUGAUUUUCGUUCUAAGUUAAAAUUGCUUCAAGAGAGACGUUCUCCUAUCUUUUUCCAUCAAGAAACACAUCAAAAUUAUGAGUUUUAAUCUUUUCUUAUUGUUUUAAAGAUUCUUGCACAAAACAAUUUACUUUUGUCUUUAAAAUCAUUUCUAACAAACUUGUUUUGUGUUUUGUUUUUCUAGAUCUGGUUGGGGCAUUUUGUUGAGGUCUAAUGACGAUUUCUUUCCUUCCAAGAAACCCAUUUUCUAUUGGACUCUUUACCAGUCGGUUCAUCUUUCUUUUGUUUUAAUUAUGUUUGAAUUUCCUUUGUGACAAUUAAUUUGUUUUUAUUGUUUCUCGUUUCAGUUACGUUAGUCUAGGGAUUUAGGUUAAAUCCACAACUUAGAAAAGUUACGAUCCUGUUUCGUACGCAUGCCGUAUUAUUCUUUAUCAGAAUACAUACUUCAAAAUCUGUUUAUGAAUACAUGUAUUCAUCAAAUAAUAUUGAUGAAAUGCAAAGUAUUAUUCAAAAACGCAUUGUUAAAGUUAUAUAAUUUCAUCAAAAUAGUGCUCCUAAUAGUAUUCGACACCUCAAAAUGUGCAUAAAUUAUACAGAAUUAUUCUCUAUGGAAACUUCUUUUAACUUUCAACAGAAAAAGGUUAGAGAAAGCACGUUGGGCGUGCUUUCUCUAACUUUUUUGUUCAAAAGUACGUGCUCGUCCAUUUUUUCAACCGUUUUUAAGCACGUUUUGAAUAUAUUCCUAGAAGAUGCUAGUCCUGCUACGCGUUUUCAACCGUAGGAAAUUUCUACUUUACAAUCCAACCCUUCCUCCACGCCUAUAAAAGGGGUCUUCCACUACAUGCUUCAUUUUCCUUCAAACAUCUUCUCCCACAGUCUCUCUAGCUCUCCUCUGUAAAACACUUCUUGAUGUUAAAAAUUUCUAUUGCUAAAACUUUUUUGCUGAUGUUUGAGGUAUUAUUGAGUCGUUGGUGAUGUGAUAUGACUCUGAGCCGCACACAUUUCAUAUAUUAUACCGAGAUGGGACCAUUACAUCUGAAGCCUAUCCUGGGAAAGUUGUGUUUCGGGAUGAUUUUGCUUUGUACAGUCAUUGGUGGAAGCAUAUGAGGAGGUUUCAAUUGACGAUCGUUACGCGGUCAUGGAUAAAGGUAUGACGGGGGAGCCAGUUGACAGUUGUUACGCGACUACGAGCUCAAACUUUUCAAAUACCAAAAAAUGUUGCCUUAUAAAUAACAUAUAGAAGUUUAAGGGCAUAAUCAUAGGGAAAACUGUGGGCCUUUCCGCUAUAAUCGGCAUAAUUUUUUUCUUUAUUUCCAGAUAGGCGAUACCUUUAACCUUCAUUCUUAUCCGAAGGUCGGUACCGUCGUGGAUGCAGGAGGACUCUCAGGUAGGGAGCGAUUGUUUCAGUGGUGUAAAGGUAAUGCUCCUUUCAGGCUGACAACGGUUGUCGUUAUUAAACAACCCAUUAAUAAUUACAACCGUUGACGCUCCAACCUGAGUUUGGCUUAUACUUCUACCGAAACAUCCACUCUCCCCCUAAGAGUCCUUUUGUGCCACCUCGGUGUCAACCUUCAGAUAAAAAUGAAAGGUUAAAGAUAUCGACUGUGUGUAAAUAGAGAAAAAAAAUUCGUUGAUUACACCAGAAAUCCUUCCAUUUUUCCUUAUGAUUAUUACCUCAAUCUUAUGUAUAGUAUACAUAAGGCAUCAUUUGUAGAGUAUCCAAAAAUCUUGAACUCGUGACCAUGUAACAACAGUCAAUUGGCCCUCGAUUAUACUUAAACCCGUGUCCGCAUCUUGGUCGCCGACUAGGACCUCCACUUACACUUCGACCCUUGAUCUUAUUAAACACAAUCACCCUAAAACCAGAUUCCACCAAAAUGGGUUUCUGAGGUAAUGGUCUUAUCCCGCCACGACAUAUGAAAUAUAUGUAUUAUGAGGUGCAUUAUCACAUCCCCAACUCCUCAAAACUACUUAUGAAAUUCCCUAGUUUCACUCGAAAACCCUAAGCCCUUUUAAAAAACCCCUAAACCUAAAAACCUUAAACCUAAAAAUAUUAAAAACCUUAAACUUAAAAAAAAUAAAAACCCUAACCUUGUGAGAGAGAAAAGGAAAGUGUCCCCAGCUGGACGCACUUUCCUUUUCUCUCUCCAAAAUCGACCUAUUUCCCUAAAUUUUCAAAAAAAAGAAGAAGAUUAUAAGCCUUAUUAAAAAAAAAUGGCAUAUACAGCUAAUUUAACCAUGUUAAUGAUUAUAUAACCAAAUAAUAAAAAUAAUAAUAGCAUUUUCUCAGCAAUUUUUCACUUUUUCUUUUCUUUUUUUCGUUUUAAAAAAAGUGGUUAUAAAGAAUCAAUUUUUUUAAUAGAUAGUAGAGUUGUUCAUGGACCAGGUCGAGAGGCCAGAUCGAAAAAUGGGAGGGUUAUGAAAAAAAUAUGUCCAAAAAUGAGUUUGGGAAAAAAAUAAGGCCCGUUUCGAAAAUGGGUCGAGCCUCGAGUAAAGUUCUUUUCGCCCAGUUUUGGCCCGAAUUUGCAAUAAAAACCCCCUGUUUUUUUAUUGUUGUUUUCCCACUUUUUACCACAGUUUUGUUACUAUUUCACUAUUAUAUUGCUGCUAUUUUGGAAGUAUUUGUUUAUUAAGUUGCACUUAUCUUAGUGUUAUUUAAGUAUAAAAUCUUUACUUUAAUAUUUUUAAUAUAUUUAGUGUAUUAUAUAUUCUUAAAAAAAUUUAUAUAAAAAUACAAAUUUAAAAAAACCAUAAUACCAGCAAGCUAAAAUUAAGCCUGAGUUUUAGCCUCUCUUUUUUUUUCGGGCUGAUUUAGAUAGAAAUUUAACCCAUUUUUCAUACCAAACUGAAUCUAAACCUCGAAUUUAAAAUUUUAUUAACAACCUACUCGACCCCACCAUGAAACACUCUAGUGUCAUGAACUUAAAUUUUUCCCACGCGAUCCAUACGGCUUUAGGCAGUUCCUUCGCUCAAAAACGCCUAAGUCAACCUAACUCGCAAUAAUUGAGGAUUCAAUAGAAUUCCUCUAAGGCACUCACGAAGAACAGCGGAAGAACGAAAUAAGAACGAACUCGAAAGAUGAUCAAAAGCCACAGAAAAGCAAGAACACUUGAGAGAAAAAUUUGAGUGAAUACUCUCAAAAUUCUAUUAAUAACUGAAUGAAUUACAAUGAGGGGGAGAGACCUCUAUUUAUAUUUGAGCCUCCCAAAAUAAACGGUAUAGAUCAAAGUACAUCAAUGGCUAAGAUUAAAAGCUAUCUAGAUAUCAAAUCUCUAAGAUUACAAAAUAGUAUCUUCUAAAGUUUACAUUUAAUGUCUAGGAUAAUAUAUAUUUGAAGAUCACCUUCCAUAUUUGCCAAGCUUCAGAGAUGGACUUUCAAUCUCUUCAAGCAACGGACCAGUCCAAUUGAGCCAAAUGACCUCCUUCAAAUACGAUGAAUCAUACAAGUUCGUCAUGGUCGUCAUGGUUGUGGGCUCCCAUGCACAACCCAUGACACUAGUACAUAGUAAUGGUUUGACUUAUUAUAAUUUGUGGGCGUGCUUUGCUUACCUUGAAAAACGAAGCUCCUUGAAUUAAAUAAGAGACGUACACACUUUUGCUUUGAGCUUAAAUCCAAGACAGUACGACAAGAUUUGUGUGUGCGAUGAAUUAUUGGACUCAUUUUUCUAAAAUUUAAUAUAGUGAUUACAUUUCUUCCGAUUCCUUCCAUUUUAAGUAAUCUUAAGUUUGAACCUUUACAUUUAAUUUAUCUUGUUCCAUAAUAUGAUUAUAUUUUCCUAUCAUUUUAUCAUACCCAUUAUUUGAUUAGUAUAAUAAAAACAUACUUAUGUACGUGGGUUGAUGUUUAUAUUAUUAUUUAAAUUUUUUAUUUAAUUAAUAAUUUAGAAUGUUUAUUUCAGAAUAUUGUAAUUUUUUAUUAAAAAACCAAAUAAAAAUAUUCAUUUAGUAAAAUUUGAACCCACGCUAAUUUUAUUAGUAAAAUAUUUAAUUUAUCACUCAACUAAAAAUUUAUUUUAAUAUAUUUUAAUGUAUUUUAAUUUUAUUAUGGACACUUUAUUACCUUCAUCAGUUGUAUAUAUAUUAUUUAAAUUUCUGACUGAGUUUGUGUUAAAUCGGUCACCAACUCAAUUAAGACAUUAUAGAAAUGUUCUUUCGUGAUUAAAAUAAGUAAUAUAAAUCGAAUGCAUUUUAGUUUUUUUACUUUAAAAGAUCAAUAAAAAUAUGCAUAUGUUUGGAUUUGAAUCUACUCCAAUUACAUUGGGAAAACCUUCAAUUUACAACUUAAUUAAAGCUUUAUUUUAAUAUUUUUAUAAAUUCUAAUUUUAUUAUGUACAUCUAUUACUUUCAUAAGUUGUAUAUAUUAAUAAUGUAUUUAAUUGAGUUGUUGUCAUAAAUUAAUUUGACACAAACUCAAAAUUAGUGACAACACCAUGAAAAACAAUUUAAUUUUUAUUUUUAUUUUAAUAAUGUGUAUAUUUUAAUUUAAUUUAAUUUAUUAUUAUUAAUAUUUACUUUUUACUUGUAUAAUAAAAAAAAUACUAAAAUGGUAUCCCACUCCCAUUAUUUACGAGAAUGAUAUGGUGUGGGUGGUGGAGAGGCGACACCACCCUUGUUUUUUUUAUUCCAAUCAUUAGUUUGUUAUGCAAAAAAAAAAUUAAGGAGGGAGGGAACCUAAUAGGCGGCACUAGUGGAGCCACCUUGAUAGGCGACACCACUUUCCGCCGAAGAUCACAUAGUCACACGGUCUGACUGCCUGAACUGACUAAUUAAGGCCUCAUGGGUGUUAAAAUAUUUUCUUUAUACAAGAGCCAUGGUCCCCUCAACGGGUGUUAAAAUUCGUUGCCUCCUUUCUUUAAAACCCUAACCUAACCAAAAUAAAAUUACAAAAAUAAUAGUUAACCUUUCAGAACUCUUAUUCUCUUCUCUUCUUUGCUGCCUUUUCCCCUUAUUAUCCUUAGCUGCUACUUCAAUUUUUUUCUUUUUUCCAGGGACCAUGGCUCUCUUAUAAAGAAAACAUUUUUAACACCCGUGAGCCUAAAUUGGCCAGUUCAGGCUGUUAGACCACGUGACUGUGUGGUCUCUGAUGCAAAAUGGAGCCGCUUGUCAAGGGGCAUCCACUAGUGCCGCCUGUCAGGUUCCCUCCACCAUUUAAAAAACUAUAUUUUUACAUAAAAGACUAAUGAUCGGGAUAAAAAACAAAUGUGGUGCCACUUCUCUACCACCCACACCAUACCAUUCUAAUAAAUAGUAGGAGUGGGCUACCAUUUUGGUAAUUUUUUUUAAUUAUAGAAGUAAAAAGACUAUUUUAAAAUAUGAAAAUCAUUGCGUGUAAAAGAAAACAUCAUUACGUUUUAUGAGGUGUGUUCUUUUUCAAUAAAAAACACGAUAUAUCCACAAAAUAAGUAUUAAAUUUUCUCUAUGAUUUUUCAAUAGUUUUCUUUAUUCAAAAAAAGACAUGCAAGAUACGUCAGUGAUCCAUCGUUCAUAUACACUUGAAUAUCCUUUCAAAUUAGAGCUGGGUUGUGAAAAUGACUUAACCCAAUCCUCUAUUUAUUGGAGACUUGAUUUGAAAUCAUUUUCAAGAUCAAAAGGAAAUGAUGGAUGUGAGGGUGAAGCUUUUAAUCCUUUUGGCAAGCUCAUUCUUGAUUUACUCACUCUUAGUUUUACUCAAAGUUCUAUAUGACUACUGGUGGGUGCGUCCCCGUAUACAACACCUCUUGAAUUCACAGGGACUUCAAGGGCCUCCUUACAAGUUCAUCCAUGGAUGCAACAAACAAAUUAACAAAAUGAGAAGUGAAGCAUUAAGCAAACCUAUGGGACUGACACAUGACAUACUUCCCAGAGUUUUCCCUCAUGUUUACUCCUAGAUCAACUUAUACGAUGAGUGGCAAACAACAAAUCAAAUGCAUUUUUUUCACUAUGAUUCUAACUUCUAGUUUCCAGAAAUAAUUGGUUUUUUUUAAAUUGAGUUGAUUAGGGAAGAACUAUCUUUCUUGAGACGGUGUUCAAGCUCAGGUGGUGACUCCUGACCUAGAACUAAUAAAAGAGGUUCUUAAAAAUAGUUAACAAACUUUUUUGAAAAGGAAACCCCCGACCUAUCUUAGCAGGCUAGUGGGGGAUGGGCUUGUUACAAGUGAAGGAGAAAAAUGGGCAAAGCAGAGGAAGUUGGCCUGUAAGUAUCUCUUAUGAAUGAAACAAGAAAUAAUUUAUUAUUCACAAAAUGACAAACUCAAACUUUCCACUUACAAAUUCAGUAUUUAAAGAAUAUACUUGCUAGCUAUUGUUGCUAAUUGCUGGUAACAGACUGAACUAACUAACAACUUCAAACUACCUACCUAUCUAACCUUUACCGUAUUAAUUAAUACUUUAACAUUCACUCAUCUUCCUUACUGGAACAACCUAAAGAAGACUUCAAAAACGAGCAAAUGCGGAGACAGAUAAAGGUUUGGUAAGAACCUCAGCAACUUGAUCACAUACAGGUACCUCACCCAUAACUAAAAAUCCAUCAGCAACUUUCUUACGAACAAAAAACAAGUCAAGCUCCACAUGUUUAAACUUAGAAUACAAUACAAGAUUUGCAGCUACUGCACUUGAGUUAUCACACCAGAUAGUAGGUGAAUCAUCAGACUGAAGCUAUAAUUCCUUUAGUAACGACGUUAGCCAGACAACAUCACUUGUAGCCGCAACAAGACUUCGAUAUUCAGCUUCAGCUGUGGAUCGAGAAACAACUUAUUGUUUCUUAGAACACUAGGACACUGGACUGUGACCAAAAUACACAUAGUAGCCAGUUGUGGAGUGACGAUCAUCAAAAUUUAGCCCCCAAUUUGCACCGGUAUACCCAACUAAAGAAAGCCAUGUAGACGGACAAAAAAUAACCCCAUAAUCCAAAGUUCCACUCAAAUACCGCAAGAUGUGUUUUAACACAAUUAGAUGAACAGUAGUGGGUGCAUGCAUAAAUUGAUAUAUACGAUUUACUGCGUAAGUAAUAUUAGGCCGAGUUAAAACCAUAUACUGUAAUGCCCUUGCAAGACUCCUAUACUCAGUGGGAUCAGACAGACACUCCCCACCAUCUUUAGACAGAAAUGAGGAGCUAACCAUAAGAGUAUGAAUGCUCUUUGCAUUAGUCAUAUGACACCUGUCAAGUAAAUCACGAAAAUACUUCUACUCACAGAGAUGAAUACACCCAGUAGAGGAACGAGUAACUUCAAUACUGAUGAAAAAAUGAAGCUCACCCAUAUCCUUUAGCGAAAACUCCUUAUGCAACUAUUUAACAAAACUGUCUAUAUACGUAGGCAUGCUUCCAGUAAUAAUAAUAUCAUCCACAUACACAAGAACGUAAAUAGUGAAGGUAGACGUGACUUGAAUAAACAAAGAGGCAUCAAACUUUGACAUAAGAAAACCAAGGGAAAGUAAAAAAUCCUUUAAUUUGGUGAACCAAGCACGUGGAGCCUGUCGAAGCCCAUAUCAUGCCUUCUUUAGACGACAUACCAAAGGUUUCCCAUCAUAACUAAAUUGAACAUACCUUGGAGGUUGCUACAUAAACAUUUCAUCAGUAAGAUCCCCAUUUAGGAAAGCAUUAUUAACAUCUACAUGACGAAGUGGCCAACCUUUUGAGAUAGAAACUAAUAGUAUAACUCGAAUAGUUGCAGGUUUAACCACUAGACUAAAUGUUUCCUUGAAAUCACAUUUAGGCAUCUGAGAACAUCCUUUAGCUACAAUUCAAGCCUUUUGACGAGCAAUCGUGCCAUCCAAAUUUUUCUUUACUUUGAAUAGCCAUUUACACCGAAUCACCUUCUGACCACUUAGAACCGUAAUAAGAUCCUAUGUGGAAUUAUUAGUAAGAGCAUCAUAUUUAGCUUGAGCAGCAGUACGCCAUUCUAUGGUAGAAAAUGCUUCCUCUAUUGAGUGAGGUUCAACAGUUUCAGCUAAAAGAGCCUGAGGUUUAAAUAUGUCGGCCUUAGACCUAGUAACCAUUGGAUAUGUAUUAGUUGAGGGUAACGAAGAGGUAGGAGGAACAGAAGAAUGAAAGACGAGAUUUGUUGAUGAUGAAGGCAGAGAAAAAUUAGAGUUAGUAGAUAUAUCAUCACGAGCAGAACACACCGAAGGACUAGAGUUGAUGUUAUCCUGAGGAACACCAAAGGCCAAAGGAAUCGGAGCGACUAAAGAGGACAACUCAGGAGGUGAAACAGCUGGCUUUGUGGGUCGAGAAGAAAAAGACCGAACAAGAGGAACAUAUGUUGGCGAAAUUAAUUACUCAGACAAAAGCAAGGAGUCGUUCAGACCAUACUCAGUAAACAGGAACCGUCGUUCAUCAAACAUAACAUGACGAGAGAUAACGAUCUUACCAUCAGGUGUGAGACACUGAUAACCUUUACCUUGAGAGUUAUAUCCCAAAAAUGUACAUGGUUGAGAGCAAAAAUCCAACUUGUGAUGUAAAAAGAGAUGUAAGUAUGGAAAACAACAGCAUCCAAAGACCCGUAAAUGAUCAUAUGUUGGAUCUUUCCCAUGUAAAGCCUUGUACGAAGAUUGUCCCUUUAACACUGAAGUAGGAAGACGGAUAAUCAGAUGAACUGCACAAUUGAAUGCAUAACCCUAAUACUUCAUAGAGAUAUUCGAUUGAGCCAGGAGGUUAAGACCUAUUUCAAUAAUAUGUCGGUGUUUACGCUCAGCCACCCCAUUUUGUUCAGACGUAUGAGGACAAGACUGUCUAAGAAUUAUCCCUUGACUCACCAAAACAGAAGUGAAAGCUCGAAACUCACCUCUCAAUCGCUUUGAAAUUGACGAAUAUUCUUGCCAAACUAAGUUCUGACUAGCUGCUGGAACUGAACAAAACAUUCCACUGCCUGAGACUUCUAUCGAAUAAGAUACAUCUAUGUAAAAUGUGUACACAUAUCAAUAAACGAUAUAUAAUACCAAUUUCAUUCACAGGCGAUAGAGGCAGGUCCCCAUAAAUCUGAGACUACCAAAUCAAACAUAGUAUAUUCAGUAGUAGAAUCUGGAAAUGACAGCUUAUGAGACUUUCCUUUUUGACAUGCAGCACAACUUUUUACAAGCAAUAUUACAAUUAUUUAAAACUGACUUAACAACAGAAGUAGAUGGAUGACCAAGACGAUUGUGCCAUAGAACUAAAAUAUUACAUUUAUUAGAUUGAUUUUGAACUUCAACAUUGGCAAGAGUCGGGCCCACAAUAGUCGCAUCUAACGAAGAAAAAUGAUACAGACCAUCACGAAUGUGGCCCUUCAGCAAAACGACUUAAGUCUGGAUGUCUUUAAGAACACAAUAGGUUGGAUGAAAUUCAAAAAACACAUUGUAAUCAGUUGCAAACUAGGAUACAGAUAAAAGAUUUUUCCAUACAGUUGGAACACAUAAAACAUUAGACAACCGAAGUAAUUUAUACCGUGUAGGAAUGAUUGAAUUACCAAUAGAAAAAAUCGGAGUAGAAGUUCCAUCACCCAUUAAAAGAUAAGAUUUACCUGAGUAAGGAGUAGAACCAUUCAACGCAGAAUUAUCACUACAAACAUGAUUUGUGGCUCCUGAGUCGGGAUACCAGGACGUAGUACCCGCAGGUAAGGGGACAUAUGAGUUAGUACCAUCAAGAUUGGACCCAAAUUGAGCCGCAUGAAUAUUAGGCUUAGUAGAAUUGGACACAUCAGAAAAAUGCAAAUUAGGAAGACGAGGAAGCCCAAUAUAUGGAUCAAACCUAGUGUACACAUGGGCCCUAGGUUUGGUUCGCCAAGGAAUAGAAGGUGUAGGUCCAGGAGAUAUAUUAACACUAGAUGGAUCAUUAUUAAAUUGCCCCAGAAAAUAACUCGCCCCUUGCAAAACUUGGUUAACCAUAAAAAUAUGAGGGUGUACAUGAAGCCCAAAAGUGGCUGAUUGACCAUGACCAAUAGGAGGCCCAAAAUCAACAUGUUGUCCAUGCCCAGUCGACUGCCCAACAGAAGCAAUACGUGACCCAAAAAAAAAAUCUGGCCUAGGCACAGAAGGAACAUGCCUAGUCCAAUCAGUAACACUUUUAGUCCAAUCAGCCCAACUAACUCCAUUCACAUGUCUAAAACCAUCAGCAGACCUGGGAACAAAAGAAGGAACUCUAGAGGUCGAAUGCCGCUGCGGCACCUUAGCAAAAUCUACAAAAAAACCAUCAAAAAAAAACUCAUUUGGUGUUGAGUAGCCACUAGAGACACCAUCAGUCGGAUGCAACGGAAUCACGGAGGCCGACCAGUCAAACUCCCGGGAAUAGACUCCGCAAUAUUCACAUGAAUUGGCACAUCGGGAACAACGAACAUCUGAUGAUUCUCAAACUCGAGAAGAACAUCUACGAGGUGUUGAAAGGGCAAAGACUCAGAGGAGAACAAGGCUAACAUCAGCACUGCACCAAACUCCAGUGGGAGACCUGCCAAGACAACUUCAACUUUUUUCGCCUUCGAGACCCGGGAGCCUAAGGCAUCAAGCAAAGCACAGAGAUUUUAAACUUUUGCAACAUAUUUGUAACCGAAAGAGUACCUUUCUUAAGCAAAUACAGCUCAUCACGGAUACAAAAUACCUUCGCUCUGGUAACUGCCGCAAACAAUCAAGUGGCCGUGGUCCACACCUCGGAUGUCGUUUGAGCGUGAGUAAAGGAAGAUAGUAAAGAGGGAUGAAUGGUGGAAAGCAACCAUAAAGCCAACAGACGACCUUGUUGAUGAAACGCCGAUGCACUAGGAUUCGGAACCAUAGAUCCAUCAUCCGAUGGCACAAAUCGUGCCUAAGAUGGUAAAGUCCCAUCCAAAAACCAUGUUAAUUCAUAGCCUUCCACAACUUACCUAAUGUGUUGUUGCCAUUGAACAAAAUUGCUAUUGUUUAGUUUAACGAUGUCAUGCCAAGGGAAGGAAUGCACAACCCGAUCACCAGUAAAUGUCAAGCAACUAGGGUCAACUGAACCAGAAUUAGCAGAUGUAGUCAUGAGGAAGAAAAAGAAAGCAAGAAAAGAGAAGAAGAAAAAAAUCAAAGCUACAGAACAAGAACAAGGCGACUGAUACCAUGUAAGUAUCUCUUAUGAAUGAAACAAGAAACAGUUUAUUAUUCACAAAAUGACAAACUCAAACUUUCCACUUACAAAUUCAGUAUUUAAAGAAUAUACUAGCUAGCUAUUGUUGCUAACUGCUGCUAACAGACUGAACUAACUAACAACUUCAAACUACCUGCCUAUCUAACCUUUAACCGUAUUAGUUAAUACUGUUAAGAAAAUGCUUUAGGACUGAAACAUGUCAAAGUUUGCUUUUUUUUUGUUAAGUUGAUUGUGUCAAAAUUUGUUCCUGAUUUUAGGAAUUAGUUGUUGAUUUUAUUUUGCUUAAGUUUAGGAAAAAGUUAGUGGGUUGUUGAUUUUAUUUUACUUGAGUUAAGGAUGGGUUGUUGAUUUAUUUUGUACAAAUUCUGAAUGAUUGUUGAAUAAAGCAAUUCAGUUUCCUUCAUCCAUUAAGUUUUUUUUUACUAAAAUACUUACAAUUGGUCUCGAAGCUGUAUUCUUAAGGGAUCUAUGAAUGAGUGUGAGAGAUUGCUGUGUCAUGGACGUUAAAGCCAGUUCUAGUUUCCCUUCAAUUUCUCCAUUGAUGUUUGAUAUAGAUAACUACCAGGUUUGGGCAGUUCGUAUGGAGGCGUAUAUGGAAGCUUUGGAUAUUUGGGAAGCAGUAGAAGAGGAUUAUGAAAUUCCUGCUCUCCCACACAAUCCUACCAUGGUGUAGAUCAAAUUGUAGAAGGAGAAGAAGACAAAGAAAUCUAAGGCAAAGGCCUGCUUGUUCACUGCAGCCUCAUCUACUAUCUUCACUCGGAUUAUGAAUUUGAAGUCAGCAUAUGAGAUAUGGAAUUAUCUCAAGUCAGAGUAUGAGGGAGAUAAAAGAAUCAAAAGAAUGCGUGUGUUAAACUUGAUUCGAGAAUUCGAGUUGCAAAAGAUGAAGGAAACAGAAUCAAUUAAAGAGUAUCCUGAUAGGUUGUUGGACAUUACAAACUGAAUCAGAUUACUUGGUUCUGAGUUCAAUGACUCAAGACUUGUUGAAAAAAUUCUUGUAACAGUGCCUGAAAAUUUUGAGGCUUCUAUUUCAGCCUUGGAAAAUACCAAGGAUCUAACUCAAAUCACUCUUGCAGAGAUUCUCAAUACUUUGCAGGCACAGGAGCAAAGAAGAGCCAUGAGGCAAGAAUGUGCUGUUGAAGGAGCUUUGCCAGCUAAGCAUCAUGAGAAUGCGAGGAACAACAAGAAGAAGUUUUUCAAGAAGAAUCAAAAUUCUACUAAAGAAUCUUCAGCCAAUAACAAAGCAGGAGUCAAGAAGGGAUCCUACCCUCCAUGUCAACAUUGCAAUAGAAAGGGUCAUCCUCCUUACAAAUGCUAGAGAAGACCAGAUGCCAAGUGCACCAAAUGUAAAUAAAUGUGGCAUGAAGCGGUAAUUUGUAGGAACAGGAAUCAACAACAAGGUGAAGAAGCUAAGAUUACAGAUUAGGAGAACGAGGAUCAACUGUUUGUGACUACAUGCUUCGUGGGUAAUGAGUUAAAUGAAAGCUAGUUGAUUGACAGUGGCUGUACCAAUCAUAUGACUCAUGACAAGGAGUUGUUUAGAGAUUUGAAGCCAAGUAAAAUCACCAAAGUCAGAAUUGGCAAUGGGGAUUACAUCUCUGUCAAAGGAAAAUGGACUGUUGCGAUUGCAAGCUGUACAGGUACAAAACAUAUACAGGAUGUUCUCUUUGUUCCUGAUAUUGACCAAAAUCUAUUGAAUGUGGGUCAACUUAUUGAAAAUGGCUUUAAAGUUACUUUUUAAAAUGAAUAUUGCUUGAUUAAGGAUGCAGCUAAUCAAGAUAUCUUCAAAGUAAAAAUGGAAGGAAAGAAUUUUUCACUCAAUCCUUUAGAGGAGGAGCAAUCUGCUUUUCCUCUCAAAGAAGAUGUCACACAGAUUUGGCACAAGAGAGUCAGACACUAUUAUCAUCAAGGGCUACUACAACUAAGAGAAAAGGAGUUGGUACUUGAUGUUCCCAAGCUUAGUGAUGCAAUCUCAAGCUGCAAAGCGUGUCAGUUUGGAAAGCAAAGUAAGAAGCCAUUUCCAAAGUCAACCUAGAGAGCCACUCACAAAUUGCAGCUUAUCCACUCAGAUGUUGCAGGCCCUCAAAGAAUACAUUCUUUAAAAGGUAGUCGCUAUUAUAUUGCCUUUAUUUAUGACUUUAUCAAAAUGUGCUGGAUUUUUUUUCUUGAAGUUUAAAUCAGAAGUAGCUCAAGUUUUUUGGAAGUUCAAGGCAAGAGUUGAGAAUGAUAGUGGCUGCAAAUUCAGAGUAUCAGGUCUGACAAUGGGAAGAAGUACACUUUGGCAAGAUUUGACAAGUUUUGUGAAGAUUCAGGCAUAGAGCAUCAGCUUAUAGCACCUUACACACCUCAACAAAAUGGGGUUAGUGAAUGGAGAAAUAGAUGCAUCAUGGAGAUGUCAGGAUGUAUGCUACAUUAGAAGAAUUUGCCAAAGAAGCUUUGGGCAGAGGUAGCAAAUAUGGCUGUAUUUAUUCAAAAUAGGCUUCCAACAAAGGCGGUGAAGGAACAUACACCAUUUGAGGCAUGGUAUGGUUAUAAACCAUCUCUGAAAUUCCUUAAAGUAUUUGGUUACUUGUGUUUCAUUCAUUCUCCACAGAACAAGUGUGACAAGCUUGAUAGGAGAGCCUCACCAGGUAUAUUUAUAAGCUAUAGUACUGUUAGCAAGGCCUAUAAAAUUUUCAGCCAUAAACUGGAAAUAUUGUUAUUAGUAGGGAUGUUCACUUUAUGGAGGAUGAAGAGUGGAGCUGGGAUGAUAUAGAGAAGAAGGGUCAGACCAAGACAGAGUUGAAACUCAAGUUUUCUAAUUCAAGCAUCGAAAAAGAAGAUGACUGGCAGAAUGAAACAGUGGAUGAUGCUUAUGUAAGAGGAACAAGGUUGCUCUCAGAUGUUUAUGAAAGGUGCAAUGUUUCUGUGUGUGAACCUGUCGACUAUGCAGAAGCAAAAAAGGAUCAAAGAUGGAUAGCUGCAAUAGAGGAGGAGCUGUCAAUGAUAGAGAAGAAAAAGACUUGGAUUUUUGUAGAUAGACUUCAAGGUAAGAAGGUAAUUGGAGUUAAGUGGGUGUUUAGAACCAAGCUUAACGCUAAUGGCUCGACCAGCAAGCACAAAGCUAGGCUUGUGGUUAAAAGGUAUGCCCAAAUCUUUGGUGUUGAUUACUCUGACACUUUUGCUCUUGUUGCUAGAUUGGAUACAAUCAGGUUACUACUUGCAAUAGCUGCACAAAAAAGGUUGGAAAGUGUUCCAAUUAGAUGUCAAAUAAGCUUUUUUAAAUGGUAUCUUACAGGAAGAAAUUUAUGUUGAGCAGCCCCAAGGAUUUGAGAAGGAAGGCAAAUGAGAUAAAGUCUAUCUUCUUAAGAAGACCUUUUAUGGUCUAAAACAAGCUCCAAGAGCUUGGUAUAGCAAAAUUGAUGAACAUUUGUUGAACUUGGGAUUUGUGAAACGUCUAUCAGAAACAACCUUGUAUGUCAAGCACAAUGAUACUGACAUUCUUAUUGCUUCAUUGUAUGUUGAUGACCUACAGGUUACAGGAAACAAUAUAGAUCAUAUUCAAAAUUUCAAACAGGAGAUGAUGGAAGUGUUUAAAAUGACAAAUCUCGGGUUCAUGUCCUACUUCCUUGGCAUGAGAUCAAGCAAGGGCAAGGUGAAAUUUUCAUUUGCCAAAAAAAGUACGCAAAGGAAAUACUGAAGAAUUUCAGAUGGAGGAGUGCAAUACAGCAAGCACUCCAAUGAACCAGAAAGAGAAGCUGUGCAAAGAAGACGGUGCUAACAAAGUUGAUGAAGGAUAUUUCAAGAGUUUGAUUGGUUGCUUGAUGUAUCUCACAUCAACAAGGCCUGGUAUUUUGAAUGUUGUAAGUAUUUUGCCUCGAUUCAUGCAUUGUGCGAGUGAAUUACACCUUAAGGCAGCUAAAAGAGUGAUUCGAUAUGUCAAAGGCACAAGUGAUUUUGGUGUUAAGUUCAUAAGGAGCAAGGAGUUCAAGCUGGUUGGUUUUUCUGAUAACGACUAGGGAGGUUCCAUUGAUGAUAUGAGGAGCACUUCAGGCUACUGUUUUACUCUUGGCUCUGGUGUUUUCUCAUGGAGCUCGAAGAAGGAAGAAAUUGUAGCCCAAUCCACUGCCAAAUCAGAGUUUAUUCUGCAACAGCUACUGUUAAUCAAGCUUUAUGGCUGAGGAAAAUUUUACUUGAUCUUGAUCUGGAGCAGAAGGAAAGCACAGAGAUUCUUGUUGACAACCAAGCUUCUAUCGCUAUCUCUCAUAAUUCCAUGUUUCAUAGGAAGACUAAACAUUUUAGCAUCAAGCUAUUCUUCCUAAGGGAAGUACAGAAACAUAGAGAUGUGAUUCUUGUCUACUGUAAAAUAGAAAAUCAAGUUGUAGACAUUUUAACCAAACCACUGCCUGCUUCCAAGUUCGAGUUUUUAAGGUCAAGACUUGGUAUUUGCGGCUCCUAAAGCAAGGAGUGUUAAGAAAAUGCUUUAGGACUGAAACAUGUCAAAAUUUCUUUGUUUUUUUUGUUAAGUUGAUUGUGUCAAAAUUUGUUCCUAAUUUUAGGAAUUAGUUGUUGAUUUUAUUUUGCUUAAGUUUAGGAAAAAGUUAGUGGGUUGUUGAUUUUAUUUUGCUUAAGUUUAGGAUGGGUUGUUGAUUUAUUUUGUAUGAAUAGUUUAGGAUGGGUUGUUGAAGAAAGCAAUUCAGUUUGCUUCAUCCAUUAAGUUUUUUUUUACUAAAAUACUUACAAAUACUUUAACAUGGCCAACUAUGUUUUCCAUAGGGAGAGCUUAAAGGUAAACUUUUGUGGGUGAUUUGAGUUAUUAAUUCUUGGUUACAUUUAACACAUUGGAGGAUGGUUUUGGCAGAACAUGACUCCAGCAGUAAUUGCCAGCGUUGAAACAAUGCUAGACAAGUGGAAAGACAAAGAAGGAGAAGAGACCGAAGCAACGAUUUAAAUAGCAGUCCGAUAUCAGAAUAGCGGCUGCUAUAUAGCGGUAGCGGCGCCGUCCAAAACCGCUACUGCUGAAAAUAGCGGUGUGAAGCAGAGUCACAUCGAUAGUGGUGGAUCGCGGCCGUAAUUUAAUGGGUAAUGGCCAAUUGCGGCAAUAACGAGCCACUAUUCCCGUUAUUUUUCGUUACAGUAAAUUAAAAAAAUCCAUCCCCUCUAAACAAAAAUCAACAGAAACACAAUAAAACAAAAGGGAAUAUAUUCCCCUACCUAUAAAAUCAGAGAGUUUUCAAUCAAAAAAAGUAAAAAGAAGUCCAAAUAAAUAGAAAACGUAAUCAAAACUCAAAAGUAAUAGAAAAUAUGAAAUUCUAUUUCUUAUAUUUCGACAAACAACACAUCAGCAGAUAAAAGCAAGGAGCCGAGGACUUGAAUCUGAAAAGCAAGUAAGUACUUGAAAUUUUGUCUUGAUUUUUGCUUGUUUGUCUUGAAUCUGCAGUGCAAAUAUGUUCUUUAGAAUUGAGGACACCAUUUGAACCGCUUGAUGCCAUCUAUUUCCUCUUCGAAGUUCUAAGUUUCUUCCAGUUCUUUCUCAGCCCUUCUAAGCCAGUCCUCAACGUCUUCAUAGAUGACCUUAAUUUGCCUUUUACCUCAUCGACACGAGUUUUCACCCUCUGUUUCCUUAAUUUAAGUUUCUUUCAUUGAUUCUUGAAAUCUUCAACAAUCUCUCCAUAACAGAAAAAGUAACAGAGAUAAGGUGAUGACUGAUGCAUAUUCCUUAACCUAGUUUUUCACACUUUCAACAGCAGUAGAGGCAACAUAUUCGACCAUUUUUGUUGAUAGUCUGAUGAGGUUGAAGUUUAGAGUUAGAGGCUACUGGUUAGGGAAAUAGAAUCGUUUCAUUUUCAUUUGAUACGCUGCUCUGUUGUGUUUUUUCUUUGGUUCUCGUUUUACUCAUUAAUUAGGGGCAGCCACCGUCCGUUUUAUCCACUAGAAAAGAGCAAACUGUUGUACAUGUAAAUUGUGUUUUUAUUGAGAAAUGGUAACCAUAAAAUUUCUGUCAAUUUACAGCCACCGUCCGUUUUAUCCACUAGAAAAGAGCCAUGUAAAUUGUGCUUUUAUUGAUAAAUGGUAACCAUAAAGUUUCUAUCAAUUUUUUAAUAAAGUAAAUUGUUAAAAAUUUUCUUAAAACAAUUAUUAGAAAAUUUCUUUAUUAAAUUUUAAAAAAAUAUAUAUAAAUCUCUGGACACAGUUUUUAAUAUGACAUGUAAUAAAGUCUUUAUAGUUAAUUUUCCCCUUAAGUCCCUUAAGUCUUUGUUACCUAUGAACAAACAUUCAUAUAUUAAAAAUUAAAAAUAUUUCAAACACGAAAUUUUAUCAUAUGUUUGUUCAUAAAGUAAAUGUUUGUCCACAAGAAUCUAGAAAAGGAUUUAUGGAAUUUCCAAUGAAAUGGUACCUUCAAUUAUAAAUGUUAAGCAAUUUAAGAAUCUAAUUGUAACAAGUAAAAAAAAAGUAAAACAUAUCUAAGAAAAAGAAACAAAAACACUCCUUUUGAAAGAAAUCAGAAAAUGAAGAUGUUUAGUUAGCUUAUAAAUAAAAAAUAGUAUUAAGUAAAUAGAACACAAUAAAUGAUUGGACAAGUAGAGGACUAAAAGAGAAAAAAAAAACGUUCAUUUAAUUUAGAAACAAUAAAUUAAAGAACCCAAAAAUUUAAAGAAGAAUCUUGCAUGACCCAAAUAUUUAUAAACUCAUAUUAGAGAAAAAAAGAAAAAGAAGAAGAAGCUUUAGAAAGCUUCUCAUUUAUUAGCAAAAUUAACACAAUAAAGAAAAAAAACUUUAGAUAAACUUUAGAUUUAACUUAAGAGAGUAAAAAAAAAAAAGAUUUCUAAAUGUAAUUUAGUUUGUAUAAUAUGAAAAACUUGAAUUUUUAAAUUUGAUCCAAUUUGAAUUUAAAUUUUAUUAAGACGGAACAAAACAAACUAUUUAUACCAAAAACUUUGGAACCAAGUAAUAAUGGGUUAUGGUGUAUUGUUGUUUUUUUAAAAAUAAAUAAAUAAAUUAUGUAUGGAUUAUACAAUAAAUUUAAAUUUUUCAUGUUAAUGAUAUUUACUUAUUUUUUGUAUUAUAUUGUUGAUAAUAUAAAUAAUGAGUUGCUUAUAUUUCUAAAUAUAAUUUUAUGUUUCUUAUAAAUAAAUAAAAAUAAAGCAUGCCACCACGUGAAGAGUUCCCGACUAAAGGAUUGGAGGGUGCACCAAGUAAUGAUAUAGGUUGGCACUUUGGAACUCCAAUGCCAAAUGUGAAAGGAAAUAUCGUAUGUAAACUUUAUGGUAAAGUUGUGAAAGGAGGAAUAACACUAUUUAAAGAGCACAUUGCUCAUAAAACCAACAAUGUUGCACCAUGCCCUAAUGUUAUUGGUAUGUGGUACUUUAUUUUUUAAAAAUGUUAUUGUAAAUUUAUCAAUAAAGAUUAUAUAUAAUUUAUAAUAAUAUAAAGUGUGAAUUAUUUUUAUUUUAUUAACAGGUUUCAUUAGAGAAAGUAUGAUGAAUAUACUGAAAGAAAGCAACACAAAGAAAAUAGACAAAAAGAGGAGAAAAGAUGAAUUCUUAUAUCAAUUAAGAGAAGAGGAGGAUGAACACGAGGAAUUCAUUGAUGAGGUUUCUGCUAUAAGGCAAGCAACUCGAGAAAGUAUCCAAUCACAACACGAGUGGCAUAAAAGGGAAGAAUUCAGACGAAGUACUGGUGAUUGGGAUAACAUUUAUGGAGAAGGGCGAUCUUCUCAUGAAGCAGCUAGAGAAAUAUCAUAGAGAAAGAACACGUAAAUCCAUCCCAAGUGAGUCUGAGUUUACCUUAAGGGGAGCUAUACCUGAAUUGGUUAGAAGCAAAAUUUCAAAGCAACCAAAGGUCAAUGACUCUUUUCUAAAGAGUUUUCAAAGGAAGAUAGGUGAAGUGGUAUCUAAAUUUUUAAUAUAUGAAAGACUUCCUUUUCAAUGAGCAAGCUCUCCAUGGUUGUAUAAUUUAAUUCAAGUGCCAAUAGAAGUUGGAUAAGGUGUAAAGCUCUCAACACCUUAUGAGGUUUCAGAUGUGUAUUUGGAGUCAUAGUAUCAACGAGUUCGUGAUUGGGUAAAUAGACUAAAGACUCAUUGGAAAAAAUUGGGUGCAACUCUAAUGUGUGAUGGUUGGACCAACAGUUUGAAUCAAAUGCACAUCAUUAAUUUCCUUGUUUAUUGCAGUAAAGGAACCAUUUUUUGGAAAUCGGUAGAUGUCUCAAGUGUCCAUAGUAGAGAUGUUGAAUUCUACUACUAUUUGUUAGAUUCAGUUGUAGAAGAAAUUGGAGAAAAUUACAUUGUCCAAAUAGUGACUGAUAAUGAGGCAGCAAUGAAAGCUGCUGGAAAAAAAAUAAUGUUGAAAAGAAAACAUCUAUAUUGGACCUCAUGUGCAGCUCACUGUUUAGAUUUAUGCCUUGAAGAUAUUGGGAAAAAGCCCAGUGUAGCAAAAAUGUUAGAUGAGGAAAAGAAAGUGACUUGCUUUAUAUACAAUCACAUUUGGACUGUUGAUUUGAUGAAGAAGUAUACACAAGGGAAACAAAUACUUCGACCUGCUCUUACUCGAUUUGCAACUCAUUUCAUUCAACUUGAAGAGAUAACAAGACAAAAGCAAGGUCUGAGAGAAAUGUUUAAUUCAAAGGUCAGUAUUUUAUAAUUAGUUAAUAUAAUUACUUAAAUAUAGCAACCUUUAAUGAUUUUAUUAGUUCCAAAUAAUUUAAAUUAUAUUAUUUUAAAAUUUUUCUUAUGAAUAUAUAGGAAUUUAAAGAAUCAAAAUGGUGACAGCAAAAGUCAGGGCCUGCUUAAGAAGCCAAAAAAAUUGUUUUGGGAAAAGAUUUUUGGAAAAAAAGCCAAUGACCUCAUAAAAGUUUACGAGCCCCUAGUAAAAGUAUUGAGACUUGUGGGUAGAGAUGAAAAACCAACAAUGAGCUUUAUUUAUGAGGCUGUUGAUAGAGCUAAACGAGCAAUUCAACAAGAUUGUUGAUAUUUCACCGAGUACGAAAAGAUUAUUAACAAUAGAUGGAAUCUUAUGCAUUCCGACUUGCAUUCAGCUGGUAAGAUAAAAUGUUUCAUAUAAUUAAGAACUAUUUUUAUAUUUUAUUAAUUUAAGCUUUAGAUUAUUAUUUGAUAAUUUUCUUAUAAAUUCUACUUAGGUUAUUUUCUCAAUCCUCAAUUUCAAUUUGGGGUGGAGCAUUCUGAGAAUGUACUAAUAGAAACAUUAGAAGGUACACGAUCAAAAUGGUUAAUCAGGUUAGAUUCAAGUACUAUUAUUUGUAACUUAGUUACAUAAUUUGAAAUAGAAUUAUUUUUUUUAUUUUUACUCUAUCUUUUAUUUAUGCAAUUGUUACUAUUUAGAGAUAAACAUGAGACAUUCGGUACUCUACAAGCACAAAGAGCUUGAAAGCAAAUGAAUCCGGAUAAACAGUUAAUUAAAUUAUUUAAUUUAAUUUAUAUUAUUUACUUAUAUUGUACAUUUUAAAGUUAUUUUGAAAUUUAAAUAAUAUUCUGCAGCUGAGUGGUGGAUAAUAUACGGCACAUGUGUUCCUGAAUUACAAAAAUUAGCAAUUAAAGUGCUUAGUCAAACAACUUCAGCAUCAAAUUGCGAACGAAAUUGGAGCACAUUUAGUUAUAUUCACACCAAGGCAAGAAAUAGGUUAAAGUAUAAAAAACUUGAGAAACUAGUGUUUACCUAUUAUAAUAUGAGGCUUCAGAUAAGGCAUCAAAAAAGAAUGAGCACUGAUGAUAUAAACACUAGUUUUAAUCCUAUUAGCCUUGAUCAUAUCUUUGAAGAUGUUGAUCCACUAUCAGAAUGACUUCAUGAGAAAGAGAAUUCAUUUUUAGAUGGUGAAAAUGCCGGUGUGUUGCCUAUGGAUACCUCUGAUGAUGAAAUAGAUGUUGAUCAAUCUCAACAACAAAAUUUGUCUCAUUCAAGUUCUAGUUCAACGCCAAGUCAAAGUGGCGAUGGACCCGAUGGUGGUGGUUUAAGUCCAAUUUAUGGGGAUGAUGGAUAUAGUGGUGAUAGAGGUGAAAUUAGAUCUUCUAGUCAGUAUGGAAAAGAAUAUGAGGUUCGUACCACUAGUGGACAUUUUCGUGAUAGAUCAGAGUUUGAUAGAAAUAUGUUUCCUGAACCUAGGAGAGAUAAAACUGAACCUAGAAUCCCAUCAAAAGGAAAAGACAAAAAGCAUACUUCUAUAGGCUCUUCAUCUGGUAGGAGAUCGAGUUCUAGUAACCUUGGGUAUAGUGAUUCAUCUACUAGCACUCAAGGUUUUUAUCCACCAGAACAACCUUCAUAUUUUCAACCUUCACAUGGUUAUCCACAACCAUAUGAUUAUUAUCCACUAUUUCCAAAUUAAGGUGUGUCAUACCAGCCUCAAAUGCAUCCUCCACCACCAAUGUAUCACCCACCUCCACCUCUCAUGUAUCCUCCUGCUCAAGUAUAUCCUCCAUAUCAAUUCUAUGAAAACCAAGGUGAAAAUGUUUUUUUUUUUGAUAUAUUUUUGGACAAAGGCCAAGAGAAUCAAGUCAAGAACGCUCUCAAAGUGAAGAUGAAUGAUUUGAUCUUCCUCGUCAUUCCACUAAUUGGUGAAAACUAAAUCGUACCACUACCAUUAUUUGUAAGGUAUGUUUUUUUUAAAGAAAAAAUUUUGUUAAUGUUCUUAAUUUUGAUGAUAUUAAAGCAUUUAAAAAAUCUCUUUAGAUAAAUAAAUGGAGUAUAUUUUAUGAAAAGAUAAUUAAGAAUCAAAGCAUGUUAAACUAUAUAUGAAGGUAGAAUGAGAGUGAGAAUAAGUGGUAGGAAAUCGAAAUAAUUAAUGAGAAUCCAUACAUUUAUCUAUUCUUUUUUUCCUUUUGCAGCAUAAAAUGUUUAUAUCUUCACCAUCUUCAAAGCUGUCAAGAAAUAUUGAAGACAUCUCUCAGGUAUGAAUUUUCAAUUAUUUUAUCUGUUAAAACUUUCAAACUUAUUAAAUAUGAUAAUUGUUUAAUAUUUCUUUUUUUUUACUUUGUUAUUAGUUAAUAUAACAUUCUUAGAAAAUUCGUAAAUAAAUGUAAGAAUAAUUAAUGAUUAUAAAAGUUGUAUUCUCAUAUCAUAUUAAUAAAAGUUUAUAAGUGUAAGAAAACACUCUAAAAAUCAUUAAAAGUGACUUUUUAUAAUUAUAAUUAUAAUUAUUAUGUUUUAUAAUAAGUUGUUCAAAUUUUAAAAAAAUUCACGACCGCGAUACCCGUAGUGGCCGCAAUAACAUCCGUUAUGUCGGCAACCGCAAUAAAUGCAACGCGAUCGAAAACGCGGCCGCGACUGCAAUUUAAAUCCCUGGACCGAAGUGUUCCAAGAAUAUAGAAUGUUCACUUCAGAAGUCAUAUCAAGAACAGCUUUUGGUAGCAGUUACUUGGAAGGAGAGAAGAUCUUUUACAUGUUGAAGAAGCUCGUAGAUAUUGUGAGCCGCAAUUCAAACAAGUCUAGGAUUUCAAUCCUCAGGUAUGUUUGUUUAUGUUGGUUGAGUGUUAAGGAGAUUAGUACAUGUAAGUUCUCGAGUUUUAGCCUUGUGAAUAAACAUAAUAGUUACUGUUUGUUGACAUCGAUUUGAUUUUGCAUCAAGUUUUGGAAAACUGACGAUGACGUAGAGUCAGAGAAACUUGCUAGAGAAAUACAAGAUUUGGUGAUAGAGAUUGUGAAGAAAAGAGAAAAUAAAGUUGCGAGUGGAGAAGCAGAGAGCUUCGGCAGUAAUUUUCUGAGAAUAUUAAUAAAAGCAUUUAAUAAUCCGGAUGAAAAAAACAAGAUUUUAAUGGAAGAUUUGGUUGAUGAGUGCAAAAGAUUUUAUUUUGCUGGACAAGAAACUGUUAAUGCCUUGCUUGCUUGGGCAGUGCUGGUUUUAGCUAUCCAUAGAGAUUGGCAAGACAAAGCAAGAAGAGAGGUGAUGGGAAUAUUUGGCAGCCAAAAUCCACACUCCUAAGUCCUUGCCAAACUCAAAAUCGUAAGCAAAUCUGAUAGCUUAAUUGUACUUGUAUUAUUGUUUCUCAUUUAAAUGAAGCUGAAAUAUAACUUUUGCAAACAUAUGCGCAUGAUCAUUAAUGAAACUCUACGAUUGUAUGCUCCCAUAAAUGGGUUGGUAAGAAGAGCUAGAAGACAAGUUCAAGUGGGAAAGCUAGUCCUGCCUGCUAAAGUAGAUGUUUGGACCCCAAACAUGGAACUUCACCAUGACCCUCAGUUAUGGGGAGAUGAUGCCCAUGUUUUUAAACCGGAGAGGUUCGAGAAAGGGAUCGUGAAAGCUACCAAGUACAAUGCGGCUGCAUUUAUUCCUUUCGGAAUGGGACCUCGAGCUUGUGUCGGGAUGACCUUUGCAAUCAAUGAAACAAAGACUGCUCUUUCCAUGAUUCUACAAAGAUACACCAUUUCUCUCUCCUGCCUAUGUUCACUCACCCACACCUCGUAUCACAGUUUAACCACAGCAUGGGA